rnacentral:rRNA from 1 species
UAACUUUCAACAACGGAUCUCUUGCUUCUGGCAUCGAUGAAGAACGCAGCGAAAUGCGAUAAGUAAUGUGAAUUGCAGAAUUCAGUGAAUCAUCGAAUCUUUGAACGCACAUUGCGGGCCUUGGUAUUCCGAGGGGCAUGCCUGUUCGAGCGUCAUUA